UUGGGAAAAACUAUCAAGAUCAAUUUUUUUUUUUUGGUGGGGACAUUUCUCAAAGCUUUCACAUUUAAAAAUAGUUCUGCCUGAUGCCUGUUCCCCAUUCUUUCACCCCCGCAUCCCCACUUUGGCUCUUGUGUCUGGUGAAACCCUAGGUUUUCACCUCUUCCACCUGAGCCCCCAGCCUUUUCCGAAAGUGGAAGAUGCUAACAUUUGUAAGUCACGUUGGGGUAGCGUCUGAGUCUGCCUGGGCUGGAGGAGGCUGGCUCAGCAGCUUAGGCAUCCAGCAGCUUCCAGAAGCACUUCCCAAACAUGCAUAUUACAAACACAUCUGAGGAUCUUAUUUAAAUGCAGAUUUAUUGAGUGGGUCUGGGGAGGUGCUGAGAUUCUGCCUUUCCAACAAGCUUCAGUGGAUGCCCGAGCUGCUAGCCCUGCACCACGCUGAGUCUCGAGGACACGGAGGGCGGACGUUCAGUAUCUGAGCAGCUGGAACCCAUUCACAGCUUUUGCCUGUGGGCGUGCAGCUGUAGUGGAAUCUUGUUCCUCAGACUGUGGUCCCCAAAGAAGCAGCACUGACAUAUCCUGAGUCUGUUAGAAAGGCUUUUUCUCUGAACCCAUUCCUCCAGGCCUACAGAAUCAGAACCUGCAUUUUAACUGGACCCUCAGGGGAUUCUGAUGCCCAUGGCGUUUGGAGAAGCACUGCCUCUGAGCUUGGUUCUCAGCCUUUCGCAUGCAUCAGAAGCUCCUGGAGAGCUCAAGAGAAGACGGAUUGCUGGGUUCCCCUCUGAGUUCAUGAUUCAGUACAUUGUGGACAGGUCCUGAGCGCGUGCAUCUCUAACAAGUCCCCAGGUGACGUGAUGCAGCUGGUCCGGGGACCCCACAGUGAGAACACUGCCCUAGAGCGAUUCCAGACCUCAAGACCGGUGGCCAACAUACCCAGCCACAAGUUCUAGAAUGAACCCUAGGGACAUGCUCACUCCAGUGUUUGGAUUGUGAGGUCUUACCCAUUUUCUUCAGUGAGGAAUUUUUGGUGUGAUACGGCCUCUAGCGACUCACAACUGGAAUUUUGCCACGCCCUCCUUACUGGUCUCUCUGCCUCAGCUGACACUGCGUAACUCAUCCAGAUUCACUGUCUCGAAGCUUCACGUUCAUCAGGCACUCACCAUCCAGGCCACCUCCAGCCCUCUCCCUGUCUGACGCAGUCCCAUGCAUCUGGGAGGCAGGGAGGUGCUGGGUACCAGACGAGAGCUCUGGAGUCGAAUCUGGACUGAUCUUCAUCUCAGCUCUCCCACUUCAUCCACUGUGAGCUUUGGGCAAUUUAGUUAACCUCUCUAGCCUCGGUUUCCUCCUCUAUACAGUGCAGAGAAUAUUCCUUUUCAUAGCUAUUUUGAGGUUCUGGAAGCUUCACCUCAGAGCAGGAGCUGGAGAUUCGGAGUCUGAAACUGCAGGCAUCAUAACCAGGGUGAGGGCUGUUGGACACAUGGCCAGAUGAAUUACUUAAUUCCGCCUCGUGGGAAGUCUCAGGGUUGCUUGUAAAAGAUUCCCGCCUACAGCAUCUUAAAGGCAAUGCCUGGCACCUGGCAAGAGAUGUCUGACUGGGCUUCCUCUCGUCCCUUAAGGUGGACCAGCGUUGGAAGUCACACUCAAGCUUAUUGUUAACAGUAACAGUAGACAUUGUUUCCAUUUAUUGAGCACCAGCUACCCUGGAAGCUGUGAUAAGCACAUUCAUUCGUGCAUUAUAAUCUUUGAUCCCCACAACAAACCAGUAAGUUAGCUACUGUUAUUACCUUCCUUUUACAGCCGAGGAAAUGGAGGGCAAGGGAGCCGACUAGUUUAAGGUUAAUUAAGGUCACUGAGCUAAUGAGUUAACUAAUGUUUGGCUCAUGGCGAGCCCAAGCUUGGGAUCACUGCACAUACUACUUCCUGAUAAUUCCACUGCCUGCUGGUUGCUGGGAUUUUUUUUGUAGUGGAACCUAUAUUUCUGGACCUGAGAUGCCUCUCUAAGAUACUCAAUCCCGCUGUUUCUUCAGGCUCCACCCCCUGCGUGACUCGCUUGGGGACAGUCUCUGCUCUGGCCUCUGCCGAUCACCAGGGUCAGGUCCUGACUUGCCCUCGUCCCGGUGUUUGUUCUUCCAGCUGGACCUUUCUUCGCUGCCCGAGUCCCGCCUCCAAGACUCUUGCACCUGUGCUCCUCUGCUCAACGUUCUUCUAUUUGCACUCGUCCUGGCCUCCUUCUCCACGCUCCCGGUCAGCCCAAACUCCCCUCUUCCCUCUCCAUCAUCCCCAAGUUCCCUGAUCAUGACCUCACCACGUCCCACCAGAGCAGUAUCUCUUUCCCAGUGCAAAACCUGAAGAUGUGCUCUUUUGAUGAAAUAAGGUCUCUGCGCCCAGCAGACAGGACCAUGGAGAGAGAGUGGGGACAUGGCACCCAGGUCCAGAGUGUUCAUCUCUACCUUUGUCUUUUGUUUAAUUAUGAGAGGGUAUAUUACAGUAGAGAAUGGGGACCACCAUUUUUCAUUACAAAUUCAUAAGAACACUCGAAGCAGGUGGAUCCCAUAUUUGUUAGAACACCCAUCACUUUUAUAAAUUGAAUUUCUGCCUAAUUACCAUGUGCAAUAACAUAUUGCAAUAAAAAUAGUGAAUAAAAAAUGUGUCCCCGAGUAAAACAGCACAUUAGUCUUGUUAGACUAAUUUUCAUUUUUAUUUAUGUACAGCCCUAAUCUCUACCGUAUAUAACCUCCUGCUUCCUGGUUAGAUAUUGAUUAACCAUAUUUAUUCAUCCAGAGCUAAACCCAGCCAGGUAAUGUUGUUCUGAACCAACCAAUCGGUGUUUUGCUGGGGAACUUUCCAGAGAGAGUUCAUGACCCCGAGAGUGAGUCAGAGGGAGGAAGAUUUCUCCUUCUCUACAACCAGAAGGAAUGUGCAGAAGUGAAAGUAGAAGAGGAAAGGCAGCCCCCAGACAGAAUGCAGAGCGGACGUGUUUUCUGGGUGAUUCUGGUCCACGCUUCGACUGUUAUGGGAAGAAACCUUUUUGAGUCUAUACUGUGACUGAUAUUGGUCAGGUUUGCAUUAGUUCAUUUCAUUUGUUAGUGUAGAUUCUCCCUGAAGAAACAAUAAAAGCCACGCAGCUCAGCAUUUUAUUCUAGAACGAGGAACCAGCCUGCGGACGCAGCCUCUGAUUAGCACAGAUGGAAGCCUCUUCAUCACCAGUCAUCCCUGAAGAGCUCUGCAAAAGGCUGGCCGGCCUUGCCCUCUGCUUAGGGGAUGCUGAAUGGGGUACCAUCCCUGGAAGGGGA